rnacentral:rRNA from 1 species
CCUACGGGAGGCAGCAGUGGGGAAUAUUGGACAAUGGGGGCAACCCUGAUCCAGCAAUACCGCGUGUGUGAAGAAGGCCUGCGGGUUGUAAAGCACUUUCAAUUGUGAAGAAAAGAUUAAGGUUAAUAACCUUAGUACUUGACGUUAACUUUAGAAGAAGCACCGGCUAACUCCGUGCCAGCAGCCGCGGUAAU